ACUAGUUCUGUCUUGUUUUCAUGUUUGGUGCCUGUUCUAGCCUUGCCUUGUUUCUGUACUGGAUAUGUCUGCUGCAGAGCCCCCCUAUCCAGUUCCUGGGAGGUCUGCAUAUCAAGCUCCUAGUUCCUGGGAUCCGCUGUAGCUGCAUCAGGGUUCUGGUUUGUGGCUGCACAAACGCUGGUGCUCAACACCAGAGGGCAUGUGGUUACCCUGCACCAGGCCCUGAUAAUCCACUUCCAUGCUGAAGACUCCCAACUUCUCAUCAGGCACUCAGGAGUCCCGGUUUCCAUACCGUCACCCAUGACAGUCUGUAAGUGUAUGUGUGAGUACGUGUAUGUUUGUCUGUGUGUAUGUGUUUCUCUGUGAGUGUGUGUGUUUCUGUAAGUUUAUGUGUGAGUGUGUUUGUGAAUAUCAUCGAAAGAGGAGACCUUCGUUUGUUCCUUACGAAAAUCGAACCAGAUAUCAAAAAUUUUGUCUCGCAGCAUCAACUUCAAGGAUCUCAUUAAUCACUAGUAAAGGUAAUUCUAAUUUACUUUGUUUUCUCAUUAAACUUCAUAAAGAUAAAAACAUUAUAAACAUGCAUAAAGUUGACUACCACUGAUCUACAGUCUCCUUCCCCAUGUUACGGUCAACCUCUAAUCCCUUACCCCAACUAGUUGCUGAUGCUCCUUCCAUAUCCCACUUGUCCCAUUUACUCCCUCCAUGCCUAUGUGAUUGUUGCCAUAAACGUCUUUCUUUCCCAUGUUACUGUCCUCUACUGACCGCUAUAGACAUGCCAAUAUUAAAAUCCUAGGUGUCCCGGAUUCAAUAGGCCAGGAUGAACUGCCACACUACUUAAGGCGACUGACAAAAUCACUCCUACCUCACUCUCACCCACGACAUAAUUGUACGCUGCCAUUACAUGUCGGACAGGAACUGCUUCCUGGCAGCAGUAAAGGGCAAAACUCCCUUGGACUUUGAGACUUCCAAAUUAAAAAAUGUUCAAGAUCUUACCAGGAAUACCCUACAAUGGUGGAAGUCACUCGGCACAGUCACGGGUCAAUUAAGAGGAUGGAUUCUAUCGAGAGCCCUUAUGGCUACAACAGUGUAUGGCAGAAUACUGAGACUCACCUCCAUAACUGAUGCCACAGCCCGCAGCAUUUCUACAAACACUGGGACUAAACCCACAUCCGGAUGAGCCCAAUACCUCCUCCAACACCCAGUCCUGGGAUCCAGCUUGAUUGCUGUCCUUCACACCUGGAUAGAGAGAAAAGUCGGGUGCAGCGACUUGACCACCCACUAUGCCUAACGCUGCAUUAUGUUAACUUUAUUUCUGUUCAACAUUCUUACCGUUCAUUUAAUCUUUUUUUUUUCUCCUGCCUCAACACACAGUAGAGUAGCAUUAGGCCUACCUAAGCCUAAUUUAUUUACGCAGUCAAUGCCCCAAGAUGGCCCAUACCAGCCACACUAGUGCCUGAACCCACGAGAUGGUUCGCUAUUCCUCCUCACCCGUGUCCCCAUCAGUUAGGGGUCAUUUAUCCACCAGUUAAAAUGAUCAGUACCUAGUUUGCCAAUGACGGUGUCACUUAUAGUCACGCCCGACUCACGUACAGGAGAAUGAGAAUCUCUGUAACCACAGGAUGGUCUGGUGUCAGACUAGCCUGUUAUAGCAGAUGGAGCAGCCCACCAUCCACCUAUGAGGUACCUGCACCUAACAACAAGAACAACAAUCCCCAAUCAUAACGCACAACUCCAACUGACACACGCACACACAAAAAAAGUAAAAGAGGCACGCUAAAGUUGAAUGCUUACAAUUGUCAGUGUUGUACUUCUGUGUUCAAUCUCAGCUUACUAUGUGAACCCUAAAUACCUGUAACCUUGCCUCAAUAAAGUAAAGAUUGACAACAACAAAAAUAAAUUGUAUGCUACAAAUGUGAAACAAAAAAAAAUAAUUAGAACACACAUCGUUGCAGUAAAUUAUGUAAGAUGCAGAUCUAAUAACGGCAGUUCUUCAAGUUGUAUAGCUUGAUCUUUUAAUAAACGUUAAUUGCUCAACCCUAUGACAUAGAAUGACAUUAAGAAUGUGAUAUAUUAAUAAAUAUGGCAAUCUGAAAUGGCAAGUUUACAGAUGAGUUGUAAAAUAAUGCACAAAUAACACCAAUAUUUUUCAUUUGCAGGAGGAAAGGUCACCCAAUGACAAGGAUUUAUUUCUCACUAAACACAUUUAUUUUAAAAAUGCUUUACAUUUACAUUUAAAAAGCAUUGUUCUCCAGCAUGUAGCUCACAUAAUAUUUUCUAU